rnacentral:rRNA from 1 species
ACUCAAAGGAAUUGACGGGGGCCCGCACAAGCGGUGGAGCAUGUGGUUUAAUUCGAUGCAACGCGAAAAACCUUACCCGGGCUUGACAUCCUCCUGAAUUCUGGUAGAGAUACCGGAAGGCUCUUCGGAGACGGGAGAGACAGGUGCUGCAUGGCUGUCGUCAGCUCGUGUUGUGAGAUGUUGGGUUAAGUCCCGCAACGAGCGCAACCCCUGCGUUUAGUUGCCAUCAUUAAGUUGGGCACUCUAAACGGACUGCCGAGGUUAACUCGGAGGAAGGCGGGGAUGACGUCAAGUCCUCAUGGCCCUUAUGUCCGGGGCUACACACGUGCUACAAUGGUAGGGACAAAGUGAAGCGAGACUGUGAAGUUAAGCGGAUCACAAAAACCCUAUCCUAGUUCGGAUUGCAGUCUGCAACUCGACUGCAUGAAGCUGGAAUCGCUAGUAAUCGCGGAUCAGCAUGCCGCGGUGAAUAUGUUCCCGGGCCUUGUACACACCGCCCGU